rnacentral:lncRNA from 1 species
UCCUUCAAUGUUUAUUUUCGUGCAAAUGAAUAAAUACAUAAAUCAAAUGGUACUUUAGUUGUUUAAUACUUCAAUAAAAUCUAAAAUUUCGUCAUGUAAAUGGUAUACCACCUCAAGCAAUGUACCAAUAUUUCAAUAUUUUUUUAGUCAGUCAGUGUGCAUAUCAGCAUAUGCAAUUUGACGUUUAUGUUCAUCUAUUAGUACUCUUUUUAUUAGGUGUGUACAUG